GAAAAAAAUACGAAACGAAGAAGCUAGUCCGUUCGACUUCUUCCUCUCACGAUCUCACGAUCCACCAGGCAUCCGCGAUCAGCGGCCGGUGCGGAGGACCUGGCCGGCGACCGGCACAGAGGGCCUAGCAGCUGGCAGCAGGUUUGUGAGAAAUUCACUGAACUGAGAGGGACUAAGGAGUAGCAGAGUAAGAAUUGAAUCGAGCUUUAUGAUAGAAUCGAAUCAUGGAUCAAACCAGUCGGUUACGACGAACAAAGCAGGCAUCUUUUCUUUUAUGGGAAAAAAGCACUCAAUUAGCUGGCUGAUUAACCAAAUUACAGUUACAUUUUAGGAGACCCUGGACAGGCCCAGGAUCGAACCAAUUAAGAGACCAGACGAAGCUUUUUCUCUAGCAAACUGCCCAGACCGGGCAAUCCAGCUAAUUCUAACCUGCCUAUCAAGAUCGCGAAGACUGAAACAAGCUGACAAACGAUUAGCCUCCGCCGAUUUGACACUGUCAAUGAGCACCUGACAGUCGCUUUCCAAAUGCACAUAAGCACCAGUAUCUGUGCAUAGGCCAGCAAUGCCUUCCCGAGCAGGCACGACUUUCGGCUUCCAGAAAGAUGAUCUGACCGUCGUGUGAGCGAAGAACCGCGCCCCACCAUGAGUCGCCAUUCCUAGGGAUGAGCCUGGGUCGGCGUUUGGUUGACCAUGGUUGUUGGUAGUGACGGCGGAUGACGUGGCAUGUUCGUAAUUUUGAUGAAAAAACAACGACCUACCGCCGUCCGCCAUCACCACUAACUGCAAUUUAAUACUCUUUCCGAUGCUAAAUUGUUGUCGAAAUAUUAUACGUAUCUAGACGCUUUUAAGAAUAGAUACAUUCAUAUUUGGACAAAUUUGAGCCAAGAAUUUAGUAUCAGAGGGAGUAGAUAGUAAUAAAUUUUUGCAAAGGUUCUUGUUGGCGGCGGUGGCUUGUUAGCAACGGUUUCGACGCUGAUGUGUUGUUGUCGCCGAAUUUAGGGAUUUGGGUGCUCUUUGGUUGUGUGGCUGUAGCCGCUGAGGUAUUGCACUUCUUCCUCCUCUGGUUAUCUAGAUUUCAUUUGUUGACUAUGAUGGUUCGGAGUCGGUGAUUCCGUUUGCCAUUUUACUAUUAUGGCCGGAUAUGUAAAUCUGAGUGUUGUUUCGUUGUGUGUCCGUUACGGUGUUGCACGUAGGUGGUUUUGUCUUCCCCGAUCGUUUGGGGUUUUGUUGUGCUUUAUCUUUAUUGAUUAUGUUUUGUU